AGGGUGAAAAGGGCUGCAGGGGAGCCAGAGGCGUGGAGGUACUAGCCCCAGUGAUCUGAUAUCAGCCUCUGUGAAGAAAAGUGGUGACCUGACCCCCGAUAAACAGAAGAGAAUGUUGGAUGGUAGCAUGUGUGUCUUUCAGGGUCCGCAUGGUCGAAUGGGUCCAGAGGGAGAAGCAGGAAGUCCUGGAGUUUUCGGACAAACCGGUCAGAAGGGGGACAAGGGUGAGCGAGGCUGGAG